GUCCCUGUAGCUCAACGGAUAGAGCAGAGGUUUCCUAAACCUCCGAUGAAGGUUCGAUUCCUUCCAGGGAUA
rnacentral:tRNA from 1 species